UACGGAGGGUGCAAGCGUUACCCGGAUUCACUGGGUUUAAAGGGAGCGCAGGCGGAUUUGUAAGUCAGUGGUGAAAGGCUUAAGCUUAACUUGGGAACUGCCAUUGAUACUAUAAGUCUUGAAUGUUGUUGAGGUUUGCGGAAUGGGUCAUGUAGCGGUGAAAUGCAUAGAUAUGACCCGGAACACCUAUUGCGAAGGCAGCAGGCUAAACAAAUAUUGACGCUGAGGCUCGAAAGCGUGGGGAUCAAACAGG
rnacentral:rRNA from 1 species